AGAAUCAACGCUGGCGGCGUGCUUAACACAUGCAAGUCGAACGAUGAACUCACCUUCGGGUGGGGGAUUAGUGGCGAACGGGUGAGUAACACGUGGGCAACCUACCCUUGACUCUGGGAUAACUCCGGGAAACCGGAGCUAAUACCGGAUAUGAACACUGAGGACAUCCUCGGUGUUGGAAAGUUUUUUCGGUCAGGGAUCGGGCCCGCGGCCUAUCAGUCUUGGUUGGUGGGUAAUAGCCCACGAAGGCGACGACGGGUA
rnacentral:rRNA from 1 species